rfam:Ixodes scapularis strain Wikel colony gcontig_1108379107250, whole genome shotgun sequence.
AAAACGGCCCUCUUCAGGGCCACAUCAGACAUGCUUUUCGGACAUGU